ACUUAACCAGCUUCCUUUGGAAACCAAGGAUUAUGCAGGGCGAUCGAACUCGGAUCUCAUGGACAUAAGGUUAGCUAAAAAUUUAACUGGAUGAGGUCUAGAAUUGCUUUUAUUCCAGUUCGCCCUUCAAGUAUAUGUAAAUAUAAGGUCAUUCCUUCGUCAAUCUAAUGAAGAAAGGAGAGCAGCUGGAAGACUGACAACACAAAAAAACUAAAGAGAUUCAAUCCAAAGAAGUAGGCAAUUUGUAGCUAUAGAUAGGAGCUACCACUAUCAGUUGGCCAGCUAUGACAUGUAUAAGGCGUCUGAGAAACGUAUGGCCGACCUGGUAUGUACAAGACCAACUUGUUUGGGAGUCCAAGCAUCACUGUUUCCAUUCCGGAACCCUGUUGGAAAGCCUUGGAAAGAUGAUGAACCAUUUGGACAUAUAUAAAAGGUGUUUUCUUUCUAUCCUUCUUUUCAUAUUUUUCUAUCAAGUCAUUUCCAAGGUGUUCUGGAUGAGAGGAGAGCCAAGAGCCAAAUGAAUGACCAAAAUGAAAAGAUAGGAAUGGUUGAUCUACCCAUGGAAGUUGAAGAUGAGGAUGGCCAGAAGUUGCAGGAUGAGGAUUGAAUCCAUUUUUCUGGUCGUCUCGUAGUUAGCUGGUGAUGAAACCUCAGCCCAUGCAGCUAUGUGGGCAAUCAUCUAUCUGCAUGUAGACCACCCAGAAAUGUUGGAAAAGGCUAAGGUGGAAUUAUAGCAAACUAAUCACCCUGAAGCAAAACAAGAAGAGAAAUGAACAAGGCUCUUAUGGUGGUAAGGAAUAGAUGCUCAUGUUAGUAACAGUAUGUAAGCAGGCCAUGAGGUGGG